UGGGGAAUUUUGCACAAUGGGCGAAAGCCUGAUGCAGCAACGCCGCGUGUGUGAUGAAGGUCUUCGGAUCGUAAAGCACUUUCGACCGGGACGAACAACCUCUGGCUAACAGUCAGGGGCCUGACGGUACCGGGAGAAGAAGCACCGGCUAACUCUGUGCCAGCAGCCGCGGUAAUACAGAGGGUGCAAGCGUUGUUCGGAAUUAUUGGGCGUAAAGCGCGUGUAGGCGGCUUGUUAAGUCGGGUGUGAAAGCCCUCAGCUCAACUGAGGAAGGGCGCCUGAAACUGGCGAGCUUGAGUGUCGGAGAGGAUGGCGGAAUACCCCAAGUAGAGGUGAAAUUCGUAGAUAUGGGGUGGAACACCGGUGGCGAAGGCGGCCAUCUGGACGACAACUGACGCUGAGACGCGAAAGCGUGGGGAGCAAACAGGAUUAGAUACCCUGGUAGUCCACGCCGUAAACGAUGAGAACUAGGUGUCGUGGGUGUUGACCCCUGCGGU
rnacentral:rRNA from 1 species